ACGCUGGCGGCAGGCUUAACACAUGCAAGUCGAACGGUAGCAGGAGAAAGCUUGCUUUCUUGCUGACGAGUGGCGGACGGGUGAGUAAUGCUUGGGAAUCUGGCUUAUGGAGGGGGAUAACUACGGGAAACUGUAGCUAAUACCGCGUAGAAUCGGAAGAUGAAAGUGCGGGACCGUAAGGCCGCAUGCCAUGAGAUGAGCCCAAGUGGGAUUAGGUAGUUGGUGGGGUAAAGGCCUACCAAGCCUGCGAUCUCUAGCUGGUCUGAGAGGAUGGCCAGCCACACUGGAACUGAGACACGGUCCAGACUCCUACGGGAGGCAGCAGUGGGGAAUAUUGCGCAAUGGGGGGAACCCUGACGCAGCCAUGCCGCGUGAAUGAAGAAGGCCUUCGGGUUGUAAAGUUCUUUCGGUAUUGAGGAAGGUUGAUGUGUUAAUAGUACAUCAAAUUGACGUUAAAUACAGAAGAAGCACCGGCUAACUCCGUGCCAGCAGCCGCGGUAAUACGGAGGGUGCGAGCGUUAAUCGGAAUAACUGGGCGUAAAGGGCACGCAGGCGGUUAUUUAAGUGAGGUGUGAAAGCCCCGGGCUUAACCUGGGAAUUGCAUUUCAGACUGGGUAACUAGAGUACUUUAGGGAGGGGUAGAAUUCCACGUGUAGCGGUGAAAUGCGUAGAGAUGUGGAGGAAUACCGAAGGCGAAGGCAGCCCCUUGGGAAUGUACUGACGCUCAUGUGCGAAAGCGUGGGGAGCAAACAGGAUUAGAUACCCUGGUAGUCCACGCUGUAAACGCUGUCGAUUUGGGGAUUGGGCUUAAAGCUUGGUGCCCGUAGCUAACGUGAUAAAUCGACCGCCUGGGGAGUACGGCCGCAAGGUUAAAACUCAAAUGAAUUGACGGGGGCCCGCACAAGCG
rnacentral:rRNA from 1 species